rnacentral:rRNA from 1 species
GUGAGGAAUAUUGCGCAAUGGACGAAAGUCUGACGCAGCCAUGCCGCGUGAAGGAUUGACGGCCCUAUGGGUUGUAAACUUCUUUUGUAUAGGAAUAAACCCUCGUUCGUGAACGAGGCUGAAGGUACUAUAAGAAUAAGCACCGGCUAACUCCGUGCCAGCAGCCGCGGUAAUACGGAGGGUGCAAGCGUUAUCCGGAUUUAUUGGGUUUAAAGGGUCCGUAGGCGGAUCGUUAAGUCAGUGGUGAAAUCCUACCGCUCAACGGUAGAACUGCCAUUGAUACUGGCGAUCUUGAGUAUGUAUGAAGUUGGCGGAAUGUGUGGUGUAGCGGUGAAAUGCUUAGAUAUCACACAGAACACCGAUUGCGAAGGCAGCUGACUAAUACACAACUGACGCUGAGGGACGAAAGUGUGGGGAUCAAACAGGAUUAGAAACCCUUUAGUCC